CGCACGUACGCACGCACUUGCCACAAGGAGACGCUGUUCAGUUUACCGGAUCCUGUCCCGCGCCAGCCAACCAGGACAAGGCCGGGGAGCUCGAGACAGGCAGCCUAGACCAAGAACCGGAAGGAGGAAAAGGAACCGGAGGGAGGAAGAGGAGGGGCGGGACGAGACCACCAGGCAAGAGUCCAAACUUUCCCGCGGCGACCUAACUGCACCUCCAGUGUCUUCCCCCAGAGGGCACAGAAGCAGCAAGAAGGGCGGGAACACUUGACUGGGGUCCAUGCAGCUCUAGGCUGAGUCUUGCAGGGCUGAGCCCCCCAGGCCUGCUCUCCUGUGUCCUGGCCGCUCCGUCAGUGCCUGCCAGUGGGGUCCAGAGGGACCGUUUUUUUAACGCCUCUUUUGCAGUCUCCCGCAUUGACUUCAUAACCAAGUUCUGGGUCCCUGCCUCUGGAGUGCCUGAUGAGACAAAACGGCUCCUCGUCCUGCAUCCCCGCUGCUACUUCCAGAAUUCAGGCCUCGUGGUCUGGAGCCUGCACUGUUCCAUGAGCCUCCUGAGCAACCUGGAGUCCUCUGUCUUUCUUCCCUCAGUGAGAUGCGCCUACUUCUCCCUGGAGAAGCUUGAGGAAGCAGAAAUGCUGGAGAUGAGCUGCUCCUCACUCUCACUCCUGGGUGUGCUGGGCAGUGGGGUGCAAUGUGCACGUAGGUGCACACUCUCCCUGGGCGGCAGCGAGCAGCAGAGGUCUGAUCUGUGGUCGGAUGACGAGAGGAAGUGCAAGUAAAGCAGCUGCAGCGACGGAGUUUUGCUCUUGUUGCCCAGGCUGGUGCAAUCUCGGCUCACCACUACCUCUGCCUUCUGGGCUCAAGCGAUUCUCCUUCCUCAGCCUCCUGAGUGCUGGGAUUACAGAGACCUCGUCCGCACAGGGGCUUGUUCUUCUGUGUCUUUGCAGGGCUGUUUUGGACUCAGUAUUCACCUAAGCACUCCAAAUUACCCAGCACACCCUGCCUGCAUGGCGCUGCGCUGCACCUUCACUCUGGUCACGGGUCUGGCAGUCAGCUCACCAAUUCCUCCUGCUUCCCUGGGACUUGCCGGCUUUUAGCACUGCAAUUCACUCAGCAAACUGGGACUGUUGGUCACCCUACCUGGCAGCCAGUGAUAAGGUGAGGGCCACUCCUGGGAGGGAGGACACCUGUGGGGAAAAUUCUUGUGUUAUUUAUUUCUCCUUCGGGAUAGGGUGCCUGCAGCGCUUCAUGGGAGGGGGUGGGCUGAUGCUGCGGGCUCAGAAGUUUCAAGGGCAUCUGGGGAGACCAGAUAUUCAGAGACCUUCUAGAUGUGCCUGUUCCAUGUAUCAGGGACGCAGGUUUUCCCAACAGGGCUGGUGUCAUUGGCAUGACAGACCUGCCUUGGCUGAGCGUUCACCUGUCUUUGGAGUUCAGCCACCUUAGCAAGUCCUGGGUUUGUUCUUCAGACUUUGCUGCUCGCCCAUUGCCUGGAUCGGGGGCUACUUUGUAAACCACCAGGAAGACUCCAGUGUUUCUGGUUAAUUUUUAGAUGUUUGUUAAUUGCUCUUGGUCUCUCAUUAAUCCCCUGUGGGUCAUCCAGGAAACAUACUCACCACUGUCUGUUCUCUGAGUUUUCAUUUCCAGGCAUCCGCCCUGCCUGGAUCUCCUCACCUGCCAGGAACUUCCUCUCCACAAGCCGGCCAUCCCAGCAAAAGUUCUAACACCAAAGGUCUGGCAACUAGCCUGCCAUCUUGUGCCUGGAGCCGCCUGCGUGCCACCUACUCCCGAAGAUGGGAACCUUGUUGCCAGUUGGGCAGAUGCGGGGCAAUCCUGUACCAAGACCCCAUUUUACCACCUGCUUUCUCAGACCACUCUGGAACCCACUGUCUCAGAUUGUGUCCUCCAGGAAGCAGACCAUGAGAGGGAGUUGGCAGGGCCAAAGAUUUACUGGGGCUAACUAACACUCAGGAAAGGGAUAGGAAGGAAACAGGGCUGGAGAGCAGGUUGAGCCCGACCUGACAGUCUCGAGCAGCCCAACAGGGAGGUGUGGAGCAAGGGUUGCCCACUAGAGGGGCCUGCAUUGGGUACGGGUGAUGGGGUCCACAUGGUACCUGGCAUAUAGCAGGCUGUGCAAUCCAUAUUAACUGACUGGAUAAAUUAAUGCCCAGAAAAGGUGCCCUGGAGAAUGGGUGUGUGCUGAACACAAUAGGGAAGGGCCCAGCAUCUGCCUUGGCAUAGGCAGAACUGUGCUGUGCCCUGCAACAGGCCACCUGAGAGCUGCUUUGAUCUUGUGUGUACAUUAGAUGACUGCCAGGGGCAUGAAGGGGAUGUGCUUCCAGGGCAUUUGCUGGCAGGGCGUCUCGUGAUCUCUUGGUAUUGGUGUGAGCACAGCCUGGCAGGAGAGGGCAGAUCUCCAUGCAAAGUAUGUCAGAAAGCAGAUGGAAGCCAGGCCCCCUCCUGAAAGAGGCUCCUUGAAGAGACAGAGAAGAGUCCAUGAGAAUCAACAUUUUCUGAGGACUCCAACUGUGUGCCAAGAGAGUUCCCCUGCUGGUGCCUCCUCUGUAGUAAAGGAAAGGCUCCUGGGACCACAUUAUCAUUCUCUUCACUCGAGAGAUGAGGACACUGAAAUUCAGAGAGGGGAAGUGAUUUGCCUCAGCUUGUACUAAAGAAACAUUUCAACAGAGAACCCAGUGGAAAUUAUGACAUGUUAUCUUCUCAGAGUCCUGAACUCCCAUCCCUACCUCAGAAGAGACUCCUCUGUUCACAGAAGCUAAAGGCAGUUCCUUCCCAAUGGCAACUAUGUUUGGAUGUUGGAUCUACACUUUCUCAAGCACUGUGAUCUUCAAAUACUGCCAUCCAGGGCCAUGCAGCAAACAAGCAACAGGGAAAUAUCCCACUAUGCAAUCCUAUUUUGAGAUGAUAUUUAGGAUGAGAGAACAUGCAUUAGUUACCUACCAGCUUGACAGGAAUGGAUUUCCAAAUCUGACACACCAUAGCCUGAAUUCUCACCAGUUUGCUCCUGGAAAGGCCCGCUCAUGCAUGAGCCCCUGCCACUCUUCUAAAUAAGCUUCCAGGCAUUACCUGCAUGCUGUGUUCCUGUGGUGGGAUGGCAGUAAUCUCUGCUAAGAUAAACGGGAGCUUCUGUGGAUAAAGCAUAAACGCAGUGAAGUGUGUGUGGCUGGAAGAUUUAAUGCCUCUACAGUGCUUAGAUACAAGUUGAGCUUGGAAUUCCAGAGGUAGAGCACUGCUGAUUGGAGACAUAUUAAGUAAAAUGUACUGUGGAAAUGAGAUAAAACCUUUAUUCUUGCUAAUGAUUGUCAUUGUAUGUAUUCAGGUGUCCAACAAAGGAUUUUAGAAUAAAGUGUGCCUUUAAAGUUUCCCACCUUCUUAAAGCUCCCAAUGAAUUGCAAAGGGCCUGUUUGGAAUGGACUGUAUUAAAUCUACUUCAAAUGAAAACCUUUACACUGAGUGAAAUAUGGUUCAACAAUUCUUAACACAAGGCCUUUACACUUGUGUAGCCCAUUUUGGUUUGGCCUAUCUUGUCACUAGAAUGCUGUCUGAGCUUGGAUUAUUUAUGCCCUAAGAUUUACUUAAAAUUGAAGGGAGUAUUUCCAUUCAUCAACACUAGUUUUGAUAGAUGCUUAAAAGGUGCAGUGAGGUUGAUGAUCCUGAAUACACAAAUUAUUGAUCACCACAUCAAGUUGGAUUUCCCUAAAGAUGUAUGGCUUUCUGACCUUGUGAUUUACACUAAUGAUUAUGUCUUAAUAAA
ensembl:lncRNA EOLA2-DT EOLA2 divergent transcript